GAUUAGGAGCUGCGUCGGAAUGAAAGAGUUUUUCAAGUUACAGAAAGAUGACUAAAAGCACUUGGCCGCACAAUAUUAUAGAAUUUCAUAAUUUAAGGUUAUAAGAGUAAUUGAAACAUAGCGCUGAAAAAUUUCCAGGUUCGAGUCACGGCAAUUAUGCGAGAAUAUUUUGGUUUCAUUUAUAUGCUGUACGAUAAUCGGUAUCUAUAGCAAACCCUGCAAUGUUGCAUAUAAGGUUAUAGCUUAAGUGUUAUUAUACAAUAAAGUGACACCAUCUGAUAAGAGAACAAAAUAAAUAUGACACGACAAUUUGUUGUCGCUUAUGCAUGAAACUAGUUGCGGUUGCGAUGCAGUCAUCGCUAUUUCGUCGAAUAGAAACUGCACACUUGUGUGAGUAGACGAAAUAAAAGAAAAAUUAUGUAAUUACUGUGCACUUAAACUCGAUAGUGCAUUUCCAGAUCAUCUAUCGCAAUUUUUUCUUCCCUAACGGUUCGUUCCCCAUUUUUAUAACGUUUCAACAAAUAUACUGACAACGAACGACGUAAAAUCAGAUAAGAGAACUACGAUAUUAAUUGUGCCGACAGUCCUAGCUAUUCACAUUGAAAUUAAUUAAUCUUUAAUCUAUCCUUGUUAAGGCGACAAUUACAGGAGCGAGUGUUACAUGGAAAAUUAGGUCGUUCAACUUUCAGAGUUAACCUCUCGUUCAUUGUGGUCAAUUUUACAGUUAAUGUUAUUAUCAGAUUACCGAUCAACCAUGUAUGUGUAUAAAAAAAGCAAAAGAAAGAAAUGUUUCGGAAAUAGAUUCGGCGUAGAAGAUAGAAAUCACGUGGAAUGGAAAAUCACGAAAAAGAAACUUUGUCUGAUUCGUAUGUAUAAUGCAUGUAAAUAAAAAGAUAAGGUUAAUGUUAGUGACCCCAUGCUUCACUCCUACUCUGUCAAAUCAAGUCGCAACGAUAAUAUUUACAAUGAUUUAUGGUACGAUAGUUCUUUGUCGUCAUAGUUGUAUAAAGAUAUAACUGUUUUGUUGAACUUCGCCGCCAUGGAUCUAUGUACUUAGUGAAAAACAUAUUCUACGUGUUCGCUUCUGCAAUUAAAUAGAGUUCUACAUAUUAAACUUUAGAUAAUUAAUCGUGAUUCAUUUUGGCUUAAUUGUAUGUUAAAUGUUAAAUGAACGUAACAAAUGAAAUCAAUCCAAGCGAUCGAAUUUGUACUAUCUUUUAAAUCACUUCAUUAAACAAAAUGCAAAUCUCAGAUUUCUAUUAUCAAGUAUUUCAGAUAUAAUGCAAUUUUAGAAGAUCACAAAAAGAUUAUGUAAAGAUAGAAACUAGUCAAUGAAGAUAUUUUUGUCUAUUAAUAAUACCGUAUAAUUAUUCAUAUCUUCUGUUCAAUUUCAAAACGCUAGUAAGUACGCAUGAUUCACGGUUUUAGCAGAUUAUACCCCGACAAUGUUUACUUGCAAACUUUUUUUAGCAAUGUCAUUCAGCAACCUGUAAUAGUUGUUUGCAAAAUUUAAUAAAUGUUGCAAGUAUCGAUCGAAUGAUCACAAGUUUAUAAACUUAUCGGAAUGAUUCGGCAUUUUAUGUAUUUUUCUCUAUAAUCAUUGUAUAAAUAAAUCAACGAUUUUUGACCUUUGAAAGGUCCAGUUUAUAAUUGGAGAGGGGGUCGAUCAAUAGAGUUUUCGUUCUAGUUUUUCUUUACUUUUAGAGAAUUAUUUAGAGUUAGCGUUUAAAUUUAGAGAAUCUUCGCUCUCACUCACGCAUAGGAUUAGCCAAAUAAGCAAAAGAAUCAUCCUCAGAAUUGUUAUUUCCAUGUAAAUUCUAACUAUUAUCUAUGUAUUUUUACACGUUUGUUUUUCUUUCGUGAAAACAUGAUGAAGCAAUUUUUCAGAACUACUAGUACUUCUAAUAUAAAGUUAUAAGUCAUGAUCUUCUUGCUUUUAUAUAGCGAUUACUACGAGAUUGACAAUAACAAGAAAGGAAGGAAAUUAAACGUCAUACGAUAUAUAUUUGAAACAGAUAAAAGUUCUACUAUAAUAUCCGUACGAUAAUAUAUUCGGUUAGAAUGACGUUUCAUACGGACUUUCAAGGUUGCUGAAGCAAAAUGUGAAUCGUUUUUCGCGCGAAUUUCUAAUGUUAAGACAUUUGUCAAAUGUUCGUGAGGACGAAUUUUUAAAACCGUUCAUUAUCGUGAAAAAUGACCCUGAUUUUUGACUUUAGCGAUUCAAAAUACUCUCGGAAAGACACAUUUAGACCAAAAAUUUUGCGAUUUGCAAUAUUUUAAUAAAUCUUAGAUGAAGAACGACUCGAUAAUUAUUUGUAACGUGAAUAAAAUACACAUUAUAUGAGAGAGAAAUAUUAUUUAACAAAUUUUGUACUGUAACAUUUAAAAUUCUUUUUCGUGUUUAUUUCAUUAAUCAUCACAUUUCAAUAGCAUCGUUGUAUUAGUGAAAAACACGUGUUCGAUAGUAUAGUCACCUGUAUCGAAGUUGCUGAACGCAUUUGAAAACUAGGUCACCUCGAGACUACGUUUUCUAGUUCGUUGUGUAGAUGUCAAGGUUUAUCUCUAUGACCGGUUCGUAGAAUUGAUCUUUUCAAGAGCAAUAAAGGAGAAGAAAGCAUUUCGAAUAGAACAAUUAAUCACUGCGGGUGGUCGAUUUUAUUCAUCCUAUCCUUAGACCGUUGUCAUCUAACAAUAAUUGCUUGAGUAAAUCGCAACCUUAUGCCGGCUUCAUACGGCAAUACGCGUAUAAUAGAUACUAAAUAUGUGUAUGAUAGACGCUAAGUAAAAUCCGAAUUUUACGACGGAACAUCAAAACAAAUUAAGUUAUCAUCGCCGUAACAUUAUCGAAUUGACAAAAAAAGGCGUAAAAGUCAAUGGACAAUGAUGUCAUGAGUCGUACUUUAUGCAGAUGGAGGUGGGAGGAUAAAUAACGGUUGUUAUUGGACGAAGCUUAUGUCAUGUAACACAAGCAUCGUAGCAGAAGUAAAUAAUGUGACGUUGUGUAUUCCCUUAAGAGAAAAUUCUACUGACAACUUUUUCACAUAACUUAUCAUAUUUUACUCGUAAUUCUCAAUGAGAAUUGAUUGUAAAAUUCUUCCAAAUAAAAAAAAAAAAAAGAAAAAAAACUUAUCAUAGAAAAGGAAAGACGUAAGCUAUUAAUCUCCUAUAGAGAAUCUGAAUCUGCACCGAUUAACGUACUAAAAAAUAUAUAAUUCUGUUCAAAAAACAAAGUUGACCUCCACAUGACCUUUAAGCACCCACCGAUAGACUAUAGACAUGUAACAAGGAAAGUCAAUCUCGUUACAGUUACAUGUUAGAUAGAUACAUAUGUAUGAUAAAGUUGGUACGGAACUACAAGGUUAAUAAAAUUAUUUAUACUACAUAAAGAUUCUUGAAUAGUUUCACCUUCGACCGGUUUCCUUUCGAGUUCAGGGAGCUUGAUGCUCAUGCUACAUUUAUGUAUUUGGAUACAUACUUUGGAAUUAUUCCUAGAAACUUUAUUUUUUUAGAUUUACUUUUCUACUACAGAUUUUCUUCGAAUCAAAUUGUACCGAACCUUUAAAAUUUCUCUUACAAUUCAAGGAAAUUAUUAUUAACACUUAGCCAACCGCGCGCGCCACAGCGAGCUAUAAGCUGUCCACCGCGCUCGGACAAGCCAACUUAUACGCUGACUACCGCGCAUUUUUCCAAAUAUCGAGGACUAAUGUUCACUACUUAAAAAACAAAGAAGUCUAAAAAUUACUCAAGUGGUCAAUUCUACUUUGCGGUAAUGAUUUUGUUUAACGAUUUCACAUAUUGUUUAUACAAAACACCAAAUUAAAAGUAUAUAUUAAAAGUAUAAAAGAAUGUAGGUAAAAUUAAAAACAUUGAAGAUGACUAAAGAUAAAUAACACGACUUGAACGUGAAAUUAAAAAUACAUAAUGUAUUUUAAUAUCUUUUUACAGUGUGAUAUCGUUCGACUAUAAUUUUAUUUAGUCAUAACUGAUAGUGUAACUUCUUAAUUAAUUUUAACACCACUAAAUUGGUGUAUUUUAUUAUAUACUGUACUUUAUAAAAGCAGAAAAAGUGGCGCAAUUAAUUGGGAACAAUUCCAGGUAAACAAUAACUGAUAAUAACAGCAAAAAAAAAAAAAAAAAAGAAAA